rnacentral:rRNA from 1 species
UACGUAGGGUGCAAGCGUUGUCCGGAAUUAUUGGGCGUAAAGAGCUCGUAGGCGGUCUGUCGCGUCGGCUGUGAAAUCCCGGAGCUCAACUCCGGGUCUGCAGUCGAUACGGGCAAACUGGAGUACUGCAGGGGAGACUGGAAUUCCUGGUGUAGCGGUGAAAUGCGCAGAUAUCAGGAGGAACACCGGUGGCGAAGGCGGGUCUCUGGGCCGAUACUGAUGCUGAGGAGCGAAAGCGUGGGGAGCGAACAGG